CCUUGCUUGCGAAAUCGGCCUCCGGAACUUGGGCGGCCGAGCCCCUUCGGCUGCAGCUUUAUCACAGCCCCUCUCAUAGACCGAGUGGAAGAGAUUUUCAUACUUCCCCUGGUCUGCAAAUUCGCUUGCCUUGUCCUGCCAUUGGUCUUCUGAAGGCCGCAUGUGUUUCAUAGAGAGAGAAAAAAACUUUUAAAUCUUCUGCUUCUGAAAAGGAUAUCAGCACAUCAAGUAACAAGAGGUCAGCCUGAAAGCAGCCCCACUAGCCUUGAGCUGUGUGGACCGAAGUUCUGAGCUGGUAUAAGACAACAUUUUGCAUUUUAUAUGGUCCUCUUUUUCUGUUUUUCUUUCCCAUCCCCUCCAGUUCUUUCCAGAGACAACAUUCUCCCACUUCCACCCAACAUCUUUUCUUAAUCCAGAUUUUAAUGUUAGAAUGCCUAGAAGGCUUAAGGGUACUUCCAGAUGGAUGACUCUUAGUGCUACCAAUUAAAUCACAUUGUGCAGCUAUUCCAUCUCUCCCUCCUUUUUUGUGGUAAGAGAGAAGAUGCAAGAAGCAUUGGGAAGACAUGGGUGGGUUAUAUAUGUAAGAUAAUGAUGCUGUCUGCUUCCAAACCCCAUAAAAUUCUUCUAAGAGACAGUAAAAGCCUUGCCUGAAAGCACCAUUGGAGCAAGUUACAGCAUUUUGGUACUAAAACGGUAACAUACAGUCAAUGACACAAGAUGAAAAGUCCUGCCCUUCUUCCAUGAACUCUGUUCAACAAUGAACGAGCCUUGCUGAAGCAGAUCAAAAGCCUGAACUAGCUCAAGGUUUUGUUCACUCUGCAGCCAACCAGUUGCCCGUGGAAGUGUUUUCCAAUCUUGGACC